rnacentral:rRNA from 1 species
CUACCCGACGGCCGUGCGCUAACCUUUUGGAGGCAGCGGACCACGGUAGGAUCAGCGACUGGGGUGAAGUCGUAACAAGGUAGCCGUAGGGGAACCUGCGGCUGGAUCACCUCCUUUCUAAGG